rnacentral:rRNA from 1 species
GCUAGAGUCGUAUCUCCCUGUAGUUCUGGCCUGCUUUCCCACUGAAGAUAAGCAGGGUUGAGUCUGCUCAGUACCUGGAUGGGAGACCUCCUGGGGAAAACUAUGGCUGCUGCUGGUU